CGGGCUGUGGCUCAGCGGCAGAGCACUCACCUAGCACGUGUGAGGCCCUGGGUUCGAUUUCCAGCACCCCAU
rnacentral:tRNA from 1 species